rnacentral:rRNA from 1 species
GACGAACGCUGGCGGCGUGCUUAACACAUGCAAGUCGAACGGAAAGGCCCUGCUUGCAGGGUACUCGAGUGGCGAACGGGUGAGUAACACGUGGGUGAUCUGCCCUGCACUUCGGGAUAAGCCUGGGAAACUGGGUCUAAUACCGGAUAGGAGCCAUUUUUAGCGUGAUGGUUGGAAAGUUUUUUCGGUGUAGGAUGAGCUCGCGGCCUAUCAGCUUGUUGGUGGGGUAAUGGCCUACCAAGGCGGCGACGGGUAGCCGGCCUGAGAGGGUGGACGGCCACAUUGGGACUGAGAUACGGCCCAGACUCCGACGGGAGGCAGCAGUGGGGAAGAUUGCACAAGGGGCGCAAGCCUGAUGCAGCGACGCCGCGGGGGGGAUGACGGCCUUCGGGUUGAAAACUCCUUUCGCUAGGGACGAAGCUUUUUGUGACGGUACCUAGAGAAGAAGCACCGGCUAACUACGUG